rnacentral:rRNA from 1 species
UACGUAGGGCGCAAGCGUUUAUCCGGAAUUAUUGGGCGUAAAGAGCUCGUAGGCGGUUUGUCGCGUCUGCCGUGAAAGUCCGGGGCUCAACUCCGGAUCUGCGGUGGGUACGGGCAGACUAGAGUGAUGUAGGGGAGACUGGAAUUCCUGGUGUAGCGGUGAAAUGCGCAGAUAUCAGGAGGAACACCUGUGGCGAAGGCGGCCGUCUGGGGCCGACCCUGACGCUGAGGCGCGAAGGCGUGGGGAGCGAACGGG